UAGAGACUGUUGGGGGGGCGCAGA
rnacentral:piRNA from 1 species